UGACGGUACCUGACUAAGAAGCACCGGCUAAAUACGUGCCAGCAGCCGCGGUAAUACGUAUGGUGCAAGCGUUAUCCGGAUUUACUGGGUGUAAAGGGAGCGCAGACGGCAUGGCAAGCCAGAUGUGAAAUGCGGGGGCUCAACUCCUGAACUGCAUUUGGAACUGUCAAGCUAGAGUAUCGGAGAGGUAAGUGGAAUUCCUAGUGUAGCGGUGAAAUGCGUAGAUAUUAGGAGGAACACCAGUGGCGAAGGCGGCUUGCUGGACGACAACUGACGCUGAGGCGCGAAAGCGUGGGGAGCAAACAGGAUUAGAUACCCUG
rnacentral:rRNA from 1 species